GGAAUUUUGGACAAUGGGCGAAAGCCUGAUCCAGCAACUCUGCGUGGAGGACGAAGUCUCUAGGGAUGUAAACUCCUUUUCUAUGGGACGAAAACCCUCACGGGACUGACGGUACCAUAGGACUAAGCCACGGCUCACUACGUGCCCGCAGCCGCGGUAAGACGUAGGUGGCGAGCGUUAUUCGGAAUCACUAGGCGUAAAGCGCGUGUAGGCGGGUGUCUAAGUCCGUAGUGAAAUCUCACGGCUCAACCGUGAGCGGCCUGCGGAAACUGGACGCCUUGAGUUGGGCAGGGGGAGCUGGAAUUCCCAGUGUAGCGGUGAAAUGCGCAGAUAUUGGGAAGAACACCGGUGGCGAAGGCGAGCUCCUGGGCCUUGACUGACGCUGAGACGCGAAAGCUAGGGUAGCA
rnacentral:rRNA from 1 species